rnacentral:misc_RNA from 1 species
UACCCAGCAGUGGGUACCAUAAAUUAAAUUGAAAAUUCUAGCAAUCGUGACGUCAUAGACUAUAAGUGGUUUUUGUCAAAAUCUGCAAUCUUUUACUGUUUUAUAAUAUAUUAGAAGAAGGAGUAAGGAGUCACGGAUCUGGGAUAUUGAGUCUAUUUCAAAAGGACUCAUUGACUUUUGGGACGUUCAUGAAUCGUAUUCGUGGCCUUAGUUGAGGAUUGAAGAAAUGGAAACAACUCCCAUCGAUGGAAAGAAAUAUUUAUUGAUGAAUCCUUAUUCAUAGCUCCUGUCCGAAGAUGUUGGUUAGCCUCUAGUUUCUCUAAUGUAUCUACUUUUACUAUCAACGAGAUUAUAUAACUCACGAAGGUGCAUCUCUUUUCUUGGAUUCAUCUCACUUGGCUUUAGUCUGAUCCAGGGAGCACUAUAUACAUGGAAAGUGCACGUAUUUUCAGAAAAUACAUAUGUUAACAUUAAUAACUAUCUUUAUUAUAUCUACGUAGCAAAGAAAACUGCUUGAUUUGAUAAAGGAUUAUGGGUAAUAAUCUAAUUAAUUAUCAGACUAAACGACUUUUUAUUUGUGAAUCUAUCUCGUGUAUUCGUGAAUAACGUUCGUUUGCCAAGAGGAAUCCAUAUAUUCGUAUCCUUGCCUCUUUAUUCGUUAAGGAAUCCUAAACUAGGUUCGACUGGCUCUCAUCAUUGAAUAUUUUAAGUUGAUGAUCGGAAAGAAGUUCAUCCCUCGGAUUAUGGUUUUUAGUGACCAAGGACUGAGUCACGAAGAAAUAUUAGAGCUCAUAUCGUUUUGUAUCAUGAUCUUUCAAGUCUCAGAUGAAUAAAUAUAAUAUAGACUUAAAUCAAUUCAUGAAUGAGUUCUUGACCUUAGAGUGAUACUGAUGGAUGAUGAACUAAAGGGAUGUUCGAUAAAGUAUUUACUAAAUAAUAAUUGUUUCGUCCAUUUAAGGAUUUGUGUAAGAAUGAUGUGUUCACUAUUAUUCAAAAAAUAUUGGAUAUUAUAAUUUUAAAGACCUAUUGAAUUAGAAAAUAAUAUGCACGUUACAUACAAAAAAAAAAUAUUUAUAUUGUGUAUUUCAGAAUACUAAAAACUUAAAUUAUUACUAUUUAUUUUUAUUUUACCAUAUUAUUUUAUAUCCUCAAUUACUUUUUACCAAGUAAACCAUUUUUCACUUCACACACCGAGUAACGAGUAAUAUAUUAUAUGAUGGAUAGGAAUGGGAUAUCUUAAUUAUACGUUAAUGAAUCAUAGUAGUUGCCUUAGUUGAGGCUUGAAGAAAUAGAAGAAGUUCUAUCGAUAGAAAGAAAUGAAUAUUUAUUGAUGAAUCAUAGCUCUUUCCGAAGAUUGUGGACUCCGCCUCGACUUCCUUCUCAAGCUGGAAAUCACCAAACAAUCUUAUCAUGAUUGGCUUCUUUAAAAUACCUCUAUCCCAGAUGGUCGGUAAAAUCAUCAUACUAGACUAUCUCUUAAUCAAUGAUCUCCUUUGUAAAUUUACUCUAUCAUUCUUCAGAAGCCUAUUUUCCCCUCUUGGAACUCUGUCUCUCUCAAUCAAGAAGGUUAUCUUGUCAACCUUGUUUGGAUCAUUAUUCAUUGGAAAAAACAUCAGCCCUGGUGGAUAACCUGUUUUCAUUACGCUUACGUUGUAAAGUACGACUUUUUAUCUCUAAAUACUUAAUUUAUUACAUUUAUUUAACGUGAUUUUGCAUUUUUAAUUUAUAUGCCUUCUAUUUAUAGAUCAGCUUUGGAGAAGCCGAUAGUUAUUCUUAUGUCUAUUUAUAUAUAUAUACUCAAGUCAUUAGUUAUAAUUCAUAUAAAUUAAAUAUUUUAAUAAGAUGAUUUCAUAUCCUUCAUUUUCUGUAAUAACGAUUACAUACAUUGUUUUAAUUAUUAAAAUAAGAAGACACAUAAAAUACAUAAUACAUAACUGAUGGUCAAA